UACGGGGGGGGCAAGCGGUUGUUCGGAAUUACUGGGCGUAAAGGGCUCGUAGGCGGCCAACUAAGUCAGACGUGAAAUCCCUCGGCUUAACCGGGGAACUGCGUCUGAUACUGGAUGGCUUGAGAUUGGGAGAGGGAUGCGGAAUUCCAGGUGUAGCGGUGAAAUGCGUAGAUAUCUGGAGGAACACCGGUGGCGAAGGCGGCAUCCUGGACCGACAUUGACGCUGAUGAGCGAAAGCUAGGGGAGCAAACGGGG
rnacentral:rRNA from 1 species